rnacentral:sRNA from 1 species
UGCCACAAGUCUCAAACGGAGCAGCUGG